rnacentral:rRNA from 1 species
AUUGAACGCUGGCGGCAGGCUUAACACAUGCAAGUCGAACGGUAACAUAAAGAAGCUUGCUUCUUUGAUGACGAGUGGCGGACGGGUGAGUAAUGCUUGGGAAUCUGGCUUAUGGAGGGGGAUAACUACGGGAAACUGUAGCUAAUACCGCGUAAUAUCGAAAGAUUAAAGUGUGGGACCUUCGGGCCACAUGCCAUAGGAUGAGCCCAAGUGGGAUUAGGUAGUUGGUGAGGUAAAGGCUCACCAAGCCGACGAUCUCUAGCUGGUCUGAGAGGAUGACCAGCCACACUGGGACUGAGACACGGCCCAGACUCCUACGGGAGGCAGCAGUGGGGAAUAUUGCGCAAUGGGGGCAACCCUGACGCAGCCAUGCCGCGUGAAUGAAGAAGGCCUUCGGGUUGUAAAGUUCUUUCGGUAGUGAGGAAGGUGGUUAGUUUAAUAGGCUAGCCAAUUGACGUUACUACAGAAGAAGCACCGGC